rnacentral:rRNA from 1 species
UACGUAGGUGGCAAGCGUUGUACGGAUUUACUGGGUGUAAAGGGCGUGCAGCCGGAGAGGCAAGUCAGAUGUGAAAUCCGCGGGCUCAACCCGCGAACUGCAUUUGAAACUGCUUCCCUUGAGUAUCGGAGAGGUAACCGGAAUUCCUAGUGUAGCGGUGAAAUGCGUAGAUAUUAGGAAGAACACCAGUGGCGAAGGCGGCUAACUGGACUGUAACUGACGCUGAGGCACGAAAGUGUGGGGAGCAAACAGG